CUCAUUGCAACAGAAGAAAUUAUAUUCGUGGGCUACGGUUUUUUCUUUUCUAGAUCAAGAGUUCUGUCCUCUACAUUCCCACUAAACCUUUUCUGCAAAGUCCUUAUAGAGCCUAAUAAACCUUGCCCUGACCACUGAACCACUGUGGUUUAAUUAUGCAAAACUGGGGUUGAAGAUUCAAGAUAUUGCUCAGAUUGUUCUGCAGUAAACUCUUCUGAUUCAGCAGUGUCAGCAGGAAGGAGCCCAUGGAUGCCAAACUAACUCCAUCUCUGCAGCCUGUUGUGCCAUCACAUGAAUAUAGGAUUCUUGCUUCUGGAUCACUCAGCUCUGUUGUCCAGGUUGAAGCAGGAGGUGAUGCUACAUGGAAAGACAAGCCAAGGAGACCUUGCUCAGGUUUCCUUACAUUCUAAAACAAAGAGCCAGGUGUAAGAGCUUGGAGUAAUUUGAAGUUAAUCUCCUACUGAUACCUUCAAGCUUGAAAGCUUUAUGAGCAUCUCUGCUACACUCCUCAAGAAAAUUACCUGAACAAAGCUGCCCAAACAUGGUAUGUCUGUGACUCCAUUUCCCUCUGCACUGUGGAGCUGGAUUCAUGUCACCAGGUAGGUGCUACUCUUUUUCCAGAAGGACAGUAACAAAGUUUGUUCCCCUGUGUGUUAAAGAAACUUGGAA
rnacentral:lncRNA from 1 species